AUUGGCUUUGACGAGUCCCAAAUAGAACGAAACGCGCGUCCUGAAU
rnacentral:hammerhead_ribozyme from 1 species